rnacentral:rRNA from 1 species
CCUACGGGUAGCAGCAGUGAGGAAUAUUGGUCAAUGGACGAGAGUCUGAACCAGCCAAGUAGCGUGAAGGAUGACUGCCCUAUGGGUUGUAAACUUCUUUUAUAUGGGAAUAAAACGUUCCACGUGUGGGAUUUUGUAUGUACCAUAUGAAUAAGGAUCGGCUAACUCCGUGCCAGCAGCCGCGGUAAUACGGAGGAUCCGAGCGUUAUCCGGAUUUAUUGGGUUUAAAGGGAGCGUAGGUGGAUUGUUAAGUCAGUUGUGAAAGUUUGCGGCUCAACCGUAAAAUUGCAGUUGAAACUGGCAGUCUUGAGUACAGUAGAGGUGGGCGGAAUUCGUGGUGUAGCGGUGAAAUGCUUAGAUAUCACGAAGAACUCCGAUUGCGAAGGCAGUUCACUGGACUGCAACUGACACUGAGGCUCGAAAGUGUGGGUAUCAAACAGGAUUAGAUACCCCUGUAGUC